UACGGGGGGGGCAAGCGUUGUUCGGAAUCACUGGGCGUAAAGGGCGUGUAGGCGGGAAUGUAAGUCGGGCGGGAAAUCCCUAGGCUCAACCUAGGAACUGCACUCGAAACUGCGUUUCUUGAGUAUCGGAGAGGAAAGCGGAAUACCUGGUGUAGAGGUGAAAUUCGUAGAUAUCAGGUGGAACACCAGUGGCGAAGGCGGCUUUCUGGACGAUAACUGACGCUGAGACGCGAAAGCGUGGGGAGCAAACAGG
rnacentral:rRNA from 1 species